rnacentral:misc_RNA from 1 species
CCGAGUUAGGGUGCCUUCGGGCGCCCGACCUCCCAACCCUUUGUCUAUGAUACCACACAGUUGCUUCGGCGUGCCGAGGGGUUCGACCCUCGCCGGACUUUCGGUCGGGAGCGCGCACGUCGAUGGCCUCAUUUAAACUAUUGAACCCAAAACCUGUCGUCUGAACAUUUGUGAUUAUACCAAUCAAAAACA